rnacentral:rRNA from 1 species
UACGUAGGAGGCGAGCGUUGUCCGGAAUUACUGGGCGUAAAGCGCGCGUAGGCGGGGCGCUGCGUCGGCGGUGAAAGCCCACGGCUCACCCGUGGGAGUGCCGCCGAUACGGGCGCUCUUGGAGGGCGGUAGGGGCCGGUGGAACGCCCGGAGUAGCGGUGAAAUGCGUUGAGAUCGGGCAGAACACCAGUGGCGAAGGCGGCCGGCUGGGCCGACCCUGACGCUGAGGCGCGAAAGCCGGGGGAGCGAACGGAAUUAGAUACUCCGGUAGUCCCGGCCCUAAACGAUGGCGACUAGGUGUGGGGGGUAUCGACCCCCCCCGUGCCGCAGCACACGCGAUAAGUCGCCCGCCUGGGGAGUACGGCCGCAAGGCUAAA